rnacentral:rRNA from 1 species
AUUGAACGCUGGCGGCAUGCCUAACACAUGCAAGUCGAACGGAAACGAUGGGAGCUUGCUCCCAGGCGUCGAGUGGCGGACGGGUGAGUAACACUUGGGAAUCUGCCCAGUAGUGGGGGACAACAUUCGGAAACGGAUGCUAAUACCGCAUACGCACUACGGUGGAAAGUGGGGGAUCUUCGGACCUCACGCUAUUGGAUGAGCCCAAGUCGGAUUAGCUUGUUGGUGAGGUAAUAGCUCACCAAGGCGACGAUCCGUAGCUGGUCUGAGAGGACGAUCAGCCACACUGGGACUGAGACACGGCCCAGACUCCUACGGGAGGCAGCAGUGGGGAAUAUUGGACAAUGGGCGCAAGCCUGAUCCAGCAAUGCCGCGUGUGUGAAGAAGGCCUGCGGGUUGUAAAGCACUUUCAGUAGAGAAGAAAAGCCUAGGGUUAAUACCCCUGAGUCUUGACGUAACCUACAGAAGAAGCACCGGCUAACUCCGUG